AUUGAACGCUGGCGGCAUGCUUUACACAUGCAAGUCGAACGGCAGCGCGGGCUUCGGCCUGGCGGCGAGUGGCGAACGGGUGAGUAAUGCAUCGGAACGUGCCCAGUAGUGGGGGAUAGCCCGGCGAAAGCCGGAUUAAUACCGCAUCCGACCUGGGGGUGAAAGCGGGGGACCGAAAGGCCUCCCGCUUUUGGACCGGCCGAUGUCGGAUUAGCUAGUUGGUGGGGUAAAGGCUUACCAAGGCGACGAUCCGUAGCUGGUCUGAGAGGACGACCAGCCACACUGGGACUGAGACACGGCCCAGACUCCUACGGGAGGCAGCAGUGGGGAAUUUUGGACAAUGGGGGCAACCCUGAUCCAGCCAUGCCGCGUGCGGGAAGAAGGCCUUCGGGUUGUAAACCGCUUUUGUUCGGGAAGAAAUCCUCUGGGCUAAUACCCCGGGGGGAUGACGGUACCGGAAGAAUAAGCACCGGCUAACUACGUG
rnacentral:rRNA from 1 species